rnacentral:lncRNA from 1 species
GGUCAGUUUCACAACACGUUAUCAGCAUGAAAGCGUUUUUCUCAUAAACACUAGUUUCCAAGCCAUCGUCGUCACCGUAAAUCCAACACUUUUUCUCAUUGCCCCCCCCCCCCGACAAUCUGUUCAUCUGCAGAGAACCACAUAUCCCUGCUCUUGUUACUCGAUGAUUAAAUUUGAUCGAUAGCUGCCUCAUCCAUAGAAUAUACGGAUGCGACAAUCACUGAAUUUGAAAGAAUCAACAAAUGCUCGUGCUUUGGGGUGGUAUCUUACCGCGGGCAAAUCCCACUAGGAUGGGUGACCUGCUAGGAAGUUUCCACCAGGGGCGACCAAAAACAAAUCCGUGAGUUCCUGGAUGGGCAACCCAUGGGGGGCAAAGUAGACAAUAUUGGUGGUGCGAAGGCCGGAUGUUACAUUCACCGACAAAGUUGUGUAUAUGAAUAAUUAUGGAAAGCGGUUAUCAUGAAAAUGAAUACAAAUAUCACAUGAAGUUCGGUAUGGUACCGUAGUAAUAUGAUGUAUGUUUCCUU